rnacentral:rRNA from 1 species
AGUGGCGAACGGGUGAGUAAUAUAUCGGAACGUACCCAGAAGUGGGGGAUAACGUAGCGAAAGUUACGCUAAUACCGCAUACGAUCUACGGAUGAAAGCAGGGGAUCGCAAGACCUUGUGCUUUUGGAGCGGCCGAUAUCUGAUUAGCUAGUUGGUGAGGUAAAGGCUCACCAAGGCGACGAUCAGUAGCUGGUCUGAGAGGACGACCAGCCACACUGGAACUGAGACACGGUCCAGACUCCUACGGGAGGCAGCAGUGGGGAAUUUUGGACAAUGGGGGCAACCCUGAUCCAGCAAUGCCGCGUGAGUGAAGAAGGCCUUCGGGUUGUAAAGCUCUUUUGUCAGGGAAGAAACGGGAGUGGCUAAUAUCCAUUCCUAAUGACGGUACCUGAAGAAUAAGCACCGGCUAACUACGUGCCAGCAGCCGCGGUAAUACGUAGGGUGCAAGCGUUAAUCGGAAUUACUGGGCGUAAAGCGUGCGCAGGCGGUUUUGUAAGUCUGACGUGAAAUCCCCGGGCUUAACCUGGGAAUUGCGUUGGAGACUGCAAGGCUGGAGUCUGGCAGAGGGGGGUAGAAUUCCACGUGUAGCAGUGAAAUGCGUAGAGAUGUGGAGGAACACCGAUGGCGAAGGCAGCCCCCUGGGUCAAGACUGACGCUCAUGCACGAAAGCGUGGGGAGCAAACAGGAUUAGAUACCCUGGUAGUCCACGCCCUAAACGAUGUCUACUAGUUGUCGGGUUUUAAUUAACUUGGUAACGCAGCUAACGCGUGAAGUAGACCGCCUGGGGAGUACGGUCGCAAGAUUAAAACUCAAAGGAAUUGACGGGGACCCGCACAAGCGGUGGAUGAUGUGGAUUAAUUCGAUGCAACGCGAAAAACCUUACCUACCCUUGACAUGUCAGGAAUCCUGGAGAAAUCUGGGAGUGCCCGAAAGGGAGCCUGAACACAGGUGCUGCAUGGCUGUCGUCAGCUCGUGUCGUGAGAUGUUGGGUUAAGUCCCGCAACGAGCGCAACCCUUGUCAUUAGUUGCUACGAAAGGGCACUCUAAUGAGACUGCCGGUGACAAACCGAGGAAGGUGGGGAUGACGUCAAGUCCUCAUGGCCCUUAUGGGUAGGGCUUCACACGUCAUACAAUGGUACAUACAGAGGGCCGCCAACCCGCGAGGGGGAGCUAAUCCCAGAAAGUGUAUCGUAGUCCGGAUCGUAGUCUGCAACUCGACUACGUGAAGUUGGAAUCGCUAGUAAUCGCGGAUCAGCAUGUCGCGGUGAAUACGUUCCCGGGUCUUGUACACACCGCCCGUCA